UACGUAGGGCGCAAGCGUUAUCCGGAAUUAUUGGGCGUAAAGAGCUCGUAGGCGGCUCGUCGCGUCGACCGUGAAAACCCGCGGCUUAACUGCGGGCUUGCGGUUGAUACGGGCGGGCUUGAGUGCAGGAGAGGAACGCGGAAUUCCAGGUGUAGCGGUGAAAUGCGUAGAUAUCUGGAGGAACACCGGUGGCGAAGGCGGCGUUCUGGACUGCAACUGACACUGAGGAACGAAAGCCAGGGGAGCAAACGGG
rnacentral:rRNA from 1 species